rnacentral:lncRNA from 1 species
UUGAUCUUUGACUGUUGCUCUAGAUGCUCAACUACUUUGUACUCUGUGCUUUGUUUGGGUGGAAGGAGACUUGCCUGAAACCUGGCAUGGGUCUCUAGUGAUUGGAAGCUGCCACUCUGACAGUUAUUUAAUGUUUCAGAAGCAAGGAGCUGGUGGGAAAAACUCUGCCAUUUGGUACAGAAGAAGGUUUGUUCCUCCAUUAGUUAAGGAUUUUGUGGCACCUGGCUUGGAUUCAGCCAACCGGACAAAGAGGAAACAGACCUCACAUCUUGACCUUCCUCCUUCACCCAGUUGGCAGCUGUGACCAGCCUAUAGUUAAACAAAUUGACAUUUAAGGAGAAGAAAAAUUGCCCUGGAAGACAGACACAGUCAGACUUGCUGACGGGCAGAUGUCAGCAUAAACCUCUUGCUCAAUGAUUGGCAUCAGCAGGGAAAGUGCCCAAAGCCAACUGAUAAGUGAGGAGGACUCGAUCGCAAUGCCUGCCUGCCAGGAUGGGGUUGCCCGGUGAGGACAAUUCAGCUGACUGCAUGUUUCAACACUGUUUACGGAGGAAAAAAGAAGAGAGAUAUGCUGAUUCUAGCAUUUAACUUUCAUCUAUUUUGAUACAAAAAUAAAAUAAAUUGAUAAUGAAUGCUCA